rnacentral:rRNA from 1 species
AUGAACGCUAGCGGGAGGCCUAACACAUGCAAGCCGAGCGGUAGAGAUUCUUCGGAAUCUUGAGAGCGGCGUACGGGUGCGGAACACGUGUGCAACCUGCCUUUAUCUGGGGGAUAGCCUUUCGAAAGGAAGAUUAAUACCCCAUAAUAUACUGGAUGGCAUCAUUCGGUAUUGAAAACUCCGGUGGAUAGAGAUGGGCACGCGCAAGAUUAGAUAGUUGGUGAGGUAACGGCGCACCAAGUCUACGAUCUUUAGGGGGCCUGAGAGGGUGAUCCCCAACAAUGGAACUGAGACACGGACCAGACUCCUACGGGAGGCGGCAGUGAGGAAUAUUGGACAAUGGGUGAGAGCCUGAUCCAGCCAUCCCGCGUGAAGGACGACGGCCCUAUGGGUUGUAAACUUCUUUUGUAUAGGGAUAAACCUAGAUACGUGUAUCUAGCUGAAGGUACUAUACGAAUAAGCACCGGCUAACUCCGUGCCAGCCGCCGCAGUAAUAC